rnacentral:rRNA from 1 species
AGCAGUAGCCGCGGGAAUACGUAGGGUGCGAGCGUUAAUCGGAAUUACUGGGCGUAAAGCGUGCGCAGGCGGUUCGUUAAGACAGAUGUGAAAUCCCCGGGCUUAACCUGGGAACUGCAUUUGUGACUGGCGAGCUAGAGUAUGGCAGAGGGGGGUAGAAUUCCACGUGUAGCAGUGAAAUGCGUAGAGAUGUGGAGGAAUACCGAUGGCGAAGGCAGCCCCCUGGGCCAAUACUGACGCUCACGCACGAAAGCGUGGGGAGCAAACAGGAUUAGAUACCCCGGUAGUCCCUGUCUCUUAUAC